GGGCGUGUGGCUCAGUUGGUAGAGCGCCCGCUUAGCAUGGUUGCUUCUUUCAAAGCAAAAGAGUUAAUGCGGAAGGUCCCCGGUUCGAUUCCGGGCUCGUCCA